UCUUACGAAAGAGAAAAGAAAGUGGUUUCUUCAGAUGGAAUCUACUCCUGGUGAAGAUGCUGUGAA
rnacentral:pre_miRNA from 1 species